rnacentral:rRNA from 1 species
UGACACAGUCAUGUCACCCUGCAGCCCAAGAUUAGUUACUCACUGAAGCUAUGCAGGACUGAGCCUGGUCAGUACCUGGAUGGGAGGCCAAAUGGAAAAACUAAGUUGCUGUUGAAA